GCGCUUCCUUCCCGGCGCGUCUGGCAGACGGCCCGCGGGCGGCUGUGGGCGGGAGCCAGCGGCCAGGGGACCCGCUGCCAAGGAGGGGGCGGCCGGCGGCGCUGGGAACGCGCGGCCUGGCCUCCUCGCGGCCGGGCCUGGCUGAGGAACCGGCAAGUCCUUACAGGCCUUCCCUGCAACACCUCCAGGGACUUAAACCUGACCCAGCCACGUUACCCUGAUCUGUCUGCCUGGUGAUGAGCAAAGGUCAGAGAGAGGGACCAGACCUCAGCAGACCAAACCAGCAGCAGCUCCUGAACUCCCACCCCCCAGCUCUUCCAGAAGUGCAACAUGUCAUCACCAUACAGGCUUUCUUCUGGACCGACCGGAGACCUUAGAGGAUCAAAUGAAAAUGUGAAAACAGAAGAGCACAGGCCCAAUAUCCCCAAGUUAACUGCAUGACAAGAGGCAGUUGUCAGGCAUCCGAAAAUGUCAAGUCCUCUGAAAUGGAUAGGAAGGAUGGUGACAAAAGACAAAGCAUACACUGGAUGAAAACUUCACGUCUGAAAAUUGCUGUUAAAGAUAUAGAACGACUUGGAGGGUGAAAAAAAAAAGAACAAACACAUGAAUACUUAUAAGGCACCCAUUACAUACAAAUUAAGUAGAUGAAAGAGAAAGGGAUGGAUUAAAACACAGAAAAUGUGAUCAAUGUAUAAUGUGUAAGAAUCAGAUCUGUUUUCAUCUUUAUAUCUAUGAAAAUGAUAAUGAAAUUAUGGCUCUUAAACUCAAUUAUGUUUGGGGGAGGUGAGAAAAAAGCAAAAAAUAAAAUUACUUAAUUUUCCUUCACUUAGAGUCAAAGGAAGAAAAGGUUUCUGUUCAGAAAUCGACAAAAAUAAGAAAAAAGGGAAGUUUCCAUCUUAACAGACAGCAGGCAAGCGUUUAGUGUGUCCAUCCGGUGGCUUAAGAUAAAGCUGUUAACCAAAGGGAGCCUUCAUGCUCUUUGAGGAAAGUGCCCACAAGAAACCUAAUUUCCAACCUGUUGGAAAGAAGAAACUUGAACCCCUCUAAUCCCUUCUCCCCCUCAUUAAGGUAAGAGGCUGCUGAAGAAUUAAGAGAUACCUAUAGAAUGUAUCCUAUGAGAAGGUUCUAUUCUGAGAUCCCUAGAGAAUUCACUGGACUCUGAAGAAAUU